CAACGCACCUUGGUUGUCAACUCAGAAAAUGAAUGACUAAGAAUCAGAGAACUAGAAGGCAAGAAUAAAAUAUAGAAUCUGUUAGCUCUUGUGGGACCAGACACUGGUGAAGUGACCUAUUUUCAUAAGGAACCUCCCCACAAAGUCAGCAUUCUCUAGAAGACUAUCUAGGUUGUAGAUGUGUGUUUUCCUUCAACUUCCAAAGCAGAUCUCGGAGUAAGCAAAAGACAAACAAAAAUAAAGGACAAGAAAGACAUUUCUGUGUGUUAUCAGAGGGACAUAGAGACACUUCUGCAGGUGGAAGCAUUUCAGGCCCAGCCAGGAGAGCAGACAAAGCUUUCUAGAGAGCUAGUUGACAGACAGAUCCAAGUUGUGGAAAUUCAAGUUCAUCACCAGAGAAAUCAAGAGAAAAUCAAGGAGCUGACCCAGAGUCUCCAUCAUACCCAAGAACUGUUCUACAAAGCACCAAAGACUUUCUACAACUAAAAUUUGAAAACCAACAUACAGAGAAUGUAGUGAUGCUUGAGAAACUUCACCUGAUGUUGAAGAUUAAGGAGUAUAGAGUACAGUGUAAGAAGAAAGAAGACAAACUUGCAAAAAUUAUUCCCACUUUACAUAAAAGUCAUCAUGCUCAAAAUGAAUAUAUUAAGUCUUUUAAGGAUAAGCUAUACAAGUGAAAAAUCUGUCCAACCUGGACUAAGAACAGUGCAUUUCUCUAGAAGAGGAAUUUCCUCUUUUUCAGGAGGAAGGAGUGAUGAAAGAAUCUUCACAAAUCACUCCAAGAAGAUGGGCAAAUGCUGUCAUAUGAUGACAAAACUGUAUCAGCCCUUGGAGCAUCGACAAAUACUGGAAGUAGAAAGCUUCAAGACAGACAUUAAGGUUCUUCAACAGAAGCUGAAAGACCUGGAACAAAUGUUCUAUAAGGCAACCAUGAACACUCAUGGAAAUCAGGACUUGUCCAUGCUGUGUGAAGUCUAUGAUAGCAAUAGAAGAACCCAUAAGAUACAAGGAGAACUGAAGAACCUCAUCUCUAACGUGUUUGGUCUGUAGAAUGAGCUUAGGCUGUGU
rnacentral:lncRNA from 1 species